AGUAAUGCCUGGGAAACUGCCUGAUGGAGGGGGAUAACUACUGGAAACGGUAGCUAAUACCGCAUAACGUCGCAAGACCAAAGUGGGGGACCUUCGGGCCUCAUGCCAUCAGAUGUGCCCAGAUGGGAUUAGCUAGUAGGUGGGGUAACGGCUCACCUAGGCGACGAUCCCUAGCUGGUCUGAGAGGAUGGCCAGCCACACUGGAACUGAGACACGGUCCAG
rnacentral:rRNA from 1 species